UGGGGGCCUCUUUGUCUAACCAGACAGCUUCCUCCAACGACCAAAACCAACGAGGCUGCGAGAGGGUGGAACUUGGGUCCAAGCUGGGCAAAAACCCAUUACGGUACAGGGAGUUCUUUGGGAACACAACUAUGUGUUGAAAAUGUGCGCUCUGAGACCAGCACUAUGGACCUGUGCUAGCACAUUUUGAGAUUGAAGAAACAUUGAAUAUGUAUAGAGCAUUGUAAAUAACUCAGUAUAGCAGAGUUAUCCUCCAAGGUAACGUUUUUGCUCGAGGAAUGGGUCAAAGUUCUCAUUUUCACUUGAACGUUUGAGGUUUUUGGUCUGAGCGUUCAGCCAACAUGAACACGGGAGUGAGGUUGUGAGUUUGUGAGUGAGUGGAUAUUGGAUCCCCGAACCUGAGCCGAGCGGUCCCCCUUCUCUCCGCUUUUUCACCCCCUUUUGGUGGCCACAUGGAAUCAUCAUGGAUGCAGCUGCUACUGCUGUCGGCCCACUGGAAAGAGCUUCUUUGUCAGGCCGUUCAGAACUUCAGACGUCACUUGGCCUUGGCCGCAAAAGGAGGAAGCCAGGGGAAGACACAACAAUCGCCCUAAUGCAAACAAAGGGACUGAUUGCAUUUAUGCUAAACUGCUCGGCAUACUACACGAUGAUGAUGAUGAUGAUCAUAAAUAGAAACUGGUGAUCAGGUUUGGAGUUUGGAGUCGACGCCGAUAAGAAGCGUAUUUUUGGGGACAAAGAAAUUUAUCAACACAAAGACUUCGACGAAACUGAGUCGUAAAAUAAACGAGGUCCAUGCGGUGAUGGUAAGUUGAAGGAAGCCUGGAAGGAAGCCUGGAAAGAACCCUUGACGGAUUUAACGAAUUUCGGGUAUAACCUAGAUUACCGAAGACAGGAAGUGGGGUGCAUUUGUGAAGCGUUAACCUUACUCUAAGACUGCUGACUACUUGCUCACAACAUAAGAGGUUUUGCGCCUAAUUUUUUCCACCGCGCCCAGACGACCUGCAGAACCAUACUUGAGCACUCUAAGAAUAGAUAUAUAUAUAUUGCUCAAGAAACUUGUACGUGAGUGAUUCUCCUGGUUAACUAUCUAUUGCUACGGAUGAGCAACAAGUUUCUCAAGAAAACGGCCAUGAGUUAAGUAAUAAGGUUGUGCGCGACAAAAUACAAAAUAUGUAACCAGGC